rnacentral:rRNA from 1 species
AUUGAACGCUGGCGGCAGGCCUAACACAUGCAAGUCGAGCGGAUGAAGGGAGCUUGCUCCUGGAUUCAGCGGCGGACGGGUGAGUAAUGCCUAGGAAUCUGCCUGGUAGUGGGGGAUAACGUCCGGAAACGGGCGCUAAUACCGCAUACGUCCUGAGGGAGAAAGUGGGGGAUCUUCGGACCUCACGCUAUCAGAUGAGCCUAGGUCGGAUUAGCUAGUUGGUGGGGUAAAGGCCUACCAAGGCGACGAUCCGUAACUGGUCUGAGAGGAUGAUCAGUCACACUAGAACGGAGACACGGUCCAGACUCCUACGGGAGGCAGCAGUGGGGAAUAUUGGACAAUGGGCGAAAGCCUGAUCCAGCCAUGCCGCGUGUGUGAAGAAGGUCUUCGGAUUGUAAAGCACGUUAAGUUGGGAGGAAGGGCAGUAAGUUAAUACCUUGCUGUUUUGACGUUACCAACAGAAUAAGCACCGGCUAACUUCGUG